GACGAACGCUGGCGGCGUGCUUAACACAUGCGAGUCGAACGGAAAGGCCCUGCUUUUGUGGGGUGCUCGAGUGGCGAACGGGUGAGUAACACGUGAGUAACCUGCCCUUGACUUUGGGAUAACUUCAGGAAACUGGGGCUAAUACCGGAUAGGAGCUCCUGCUGCAUGGUGGGGGUUGGAAAGUUUCGGCGGUUGGGGAUGGACUCGCGGCUUAUCAGCUUGUUGGUGGGGUAGUGGCUUACCAAGGCUUUGACGGGUAGCCGGCCUGAGAGGGUGACCGGCCACGUUGGGACUGAGAUACGGCCCAGACUCCUACGGGAGGCAGCAGUGGGGAAUAUUGCACAAUGGGCGGAAGCCUGAUGCAGCAACGCCGCGUGCGGGAUGACGGCCUUCGGGUUGUAAACCGCUUUCGCCUGUGACGAAGCGUGAGUGACGGUAAUGGGUAAAGAAGCACCGGCUAACUACGUG
rnacentral:rRNA from 1 species